rnacentral:rRNA from 1 species
GACGAACCGAGCGAACGUUGUUCGGAAUCACUGGGCUUAAAGGGCGCGUAGGCGGCCACGCACGUCCGUUGUGAAAUCGCUCGGCUCAACUGGGCGGGGUCAGCGGAUACGGUGUGGCUAGAGCAAGCUAGGGGGCAAUGGAAUUCCCGGUGUAGUGGUGGAAUGCGUAGAUAUCGGGAGGAACACCAGUGGCGAAGGCGGUUGCCUGGAGCUUUGCUGACGCUGAUGCGCGAAAGCGUGGGGAGCGAUCCGG